CUUUUCAUUGUGAAACCACUAGAAACAAGAAACUAAUAGUGUCUUAACUAUAUGCAAAUUUUAUUUUUUUGUUAUAUAUGCGUAAAUGAGUUUUACUUACGUAUAAGUGUCCGUAGCCAGAGGUUCCUCGAUAAUGUUGGAUAAAAGAUGCGCCUUCUCAUCGACAACUUGUAGCUAACCCAGUAACAAUUUAUUUUAUCAACGAAGGUGAUAUACAUAGAAAGGUAUCGUUAGAUAGAUAUAAAAUAUGAGUGUUUAUGGUCCGGUUUUGACGAAAACUAUGAGUGUUGAACCGGAUUCAUUACAAUAAAUACACUUACCUCCCUAUUCAACUUAAAAAUCUCUUAAACAUUUAUUGGACACAUGGACAAAAAUAGGGGUCCCCACUAUGAAUUAAAUAAAUGGGUACCAAUUCAAGCUCUAAACCACCCAUGGUGGGAUGUAAUGAUAAGCCAAUGGAUACAAGUUAAAAGACUAUAGUGUCGUCCAUAUGUAUGAUAUGUUGGUGGAUCUCACACUGCUCUUUAGCUUUCAGAAACAGUCUUGUAUUUAACUAUUUGUUAGAUUAAAUAAAUGAAAUGACUAAUAAUUUGUAUAAAGAAAUACUUACAAACCCUCCUCCGUCCCUAAAUUCUUUCACAUCGAGUAUAACAAGCCCAUCUUCCGCUGC
rnacentral:lncRNA from 1 species